UACGUAGGGUCCGAGCGUUGUCCGGAGUUACUGGGCGUAAAGGGCGCGCAGGCGGCGGCGUGGGCCCGGCGUGAAAGCCCCCGGCUCAACCGGGGAGGGUCGUCGGGGACCGCGCCGCUUGAGGGCGGCAGGGGCUGGUGGAAUGCCUGGUGUAGUGGUGAAAUGCGUAGAGAUCAGGCGGAACACCCGUGGCGAAGGCGGCCAGCUGGGCCGGCCCUGACGCUGAGGCGCGAAGGCGUGGGGAGCGAACGGG
rnacentral:rRNA from 1 species